rnacentral:rRNA from 1 species
GGGUUGUGAGGUUAAGCGACUAAGCGUACACGGUGGAUGCCCUGGCAGUCAGAGGCGAUGAAGGACGUGCUAAUCUGCGAUAAGCGUCGGUAAGGUGAUAUGAACCGUUAUAACCGGCGAUUUCCGAAUGGGGAAACCCAGUGUGUUUCGACACACUAUCAUUAACUGAAUCCAUAGGUUAAUGAGGCGAACCGGGGGAACUGAAACAUCUAAGUACCCCGAGGAAAAGAAAUCAACCGAGAUUCCCCCAGUAGCGGCGAGCGAACGGGGAGCAGCCCAGAGCCUGAAUCAGUGUGUGUGUUAGUGGAAGCGUCUGGAAAGGCGCGCGAUACAGGGUGACAGCCCCGUACACAAAAAUGCACAUGCUGUGAGCUCGAUGAGUAGGGCGGGACACGUGGUAUCCUGUCUGAAUAUGGGGGGACCAUCCUCCAAGGCUAAAUACUCCUGACUGACCGAUAGUGAACCAGUACCGUGAGGGAAAGGCGAAAAGAACCCCGGCGAGGGGAGUGAAAAAGAACCUGAAACCGUGUACGUACAAGCAGUGGGAGCACGCUUAGGCGUGUGACUGCGUACCUUUUGUAUAAUGGGUCAGCGACUUAUAUUCUGUAGCAAGGUUAACCGAAUAGGGGAGCCGAAGGGAAACCGAGUCUUAACUGGGCGUUAAGUUGCAGGGUAUAGACCCGAAACCCGGUGAUCUAGCCAUGGGCAGGUUGAAGGUUGGGUAACACUAACUGGAGGACCGAACCGACUAAUGUUGAAAAAUUAGCGGAUGACUUGUGGCUGGGGGUGAAAGGCCAAUCAAACCGGGAGAUAGCUGGUUCUCCCCGAAAGCUAUUUAGGUAGCGCCUCGUGAAUUCAUCUCCGGGGGUAGAGCACUGUUUCGGCAAGGGGGUCAUCCCGACUUACCAACCCGAUGCAAACUGCGAAUACCGGAGAAUGUUAUCACGGGAGACACACGGCGGGUGCUAACGUCCGUCGUGAAGAGGGAAACAACCCAGACCGCCAGCUAAGGUCCCAAAGUCAUGGUUAAGUGGGAAACGAUGUGGGAAGGCCCAGACAGCCAGGAUGUUGGCUUAGAAGCAGCCAUCAUUUAAAGAAAGCGUAAUAGCUCACUGGUCGAGUCGGCCUGCGCGGAAGAUGUAACGGGGCUAAACCAUGCACCGAAGCUGCGGCAGCGACGCUGAUGCGUUGUUGGGUAGGGGAGCGUUCUGUAAGCCUGCGAAGGUGUGCUGUGAGGCAUGCUGGAGGUAUCAGAAGUGCGAAUGCUGACAUAAGUAACGAUAAAGCGGGUGAAAAGCCCGCUCGCCGGAAGACCAAGGGUUCCUGUCCAACGUUAAUCGGGGCAGGGUGAGUCGACCCCUAAGGCGAGGCCGAAAGGCGUAGUCGAUGGGAAACAGGUUAAUAUUCCUGUACUUGGUGUUACUGCGAAGGGGGGACGGAGAAGGCUAUGUUGGCCGGGCGACGGUUGUCCCGGUUUAAGCGUGUAGGCUGGUUUUCCAGGCAAAUCCGGAAAAUCAAGGCUGAGGCGUGAUGACGAGGCACUACGGUGCUGAAGCAACAAAUGCCCUGCUUCCAGGAAAAGCCUCUAAGCAUCAGGUAACAUCAAAUCGUACCCCAAACCGACACAGGUGGUCAGGUAGAGAAUACCAAGGCGCUUGAGAGAACUCGGGUGAAGGAACUAGGCAAAAUGGUGCCGUAACUUCGGGAGAAGGCACGCUGAUAUGUAGGUGAAGUCCCUUGCGGAUGGAGCUGAAAUCAGUCGAAGAUACCAGCUGGCUGCAACUGUUUAUUAAAAACACAGCACUGUGCAAACACGAAAGUGGACGUAUACGGUGUGACGCCUGCCCGGUGCCGGAAGGUUAAUUGAUGGGGUCAGCGCAAGCGAAGCUCUUGAUCGAAGCCCCGGUAAACGGCGGCCGUAACUAUAACGGUCCUAAGGUAGCGAAAUUCCUUGUCGGGUAAGUUCCGACCUGCACGAAUGGCGUAAUGAUGGCCAGGCUGUCUCCACCCGAGACUCAGUGAAAUUGAACUCGCUGUGAAGAUGCAGUGUACCCGCGGCAAGACGGAAAGACCCCGUGAACCUUUACUAUAGCUUGACACUGAACAUUGAGCCUUGAUGUGUAGGAUAGGUGGGAGGCUUUGAAGUGUGGACGCCAGUCUGCAUGGAGCCGACCUUGAAAUACCACCCUUUAAUGUUUGAUGUUCUAACGUUGACCCGUAAUCCGGGUUGCGGACAGUGUCUGGUGGGUAGUUUGACUGGGGCGGUCUCCUCCUAAAGAGUAACGGAGGAGCACGAAGGUUGGCUAAUCCUGGUCGGACAUCAGGAGGUUAGUGCAAUGGCAUAAGCCAGCUUGACUGCGAGCGUGACGGCGCGAGCAGGUGCGAAAGCAGGUCAUAGUGAUCCGGUGGUUCUGAAUGGAAGGGCCAUCGCUCAACGGAUAAAAGGUACUCCGGGGAUAACAGGCUGAUACCGCCCAAGAGUUCAUAUCGACGGCGGUGUUUGGCACCUCGAUGUCGGCUCAUCACAUCCUGGGGCUGAAGUAGGUCCCAAGGGUAUGGCUGUUCGCCAUUUAAAGUGGUACGCGAGCUGGGUUUAGAACGUCGUGAGACAGUUCGGUCCCUAUCUGCCGUGGGCGCUGGAGAACUGAGGGGGGCUGCUCCUAGUACGAGAGGACCGGAGUGGACGCAUCACUGGUGUUCGGGUUGUCAUGCCAAUGGCACUGCCCGGUAGCUAAAUGCGGAAGAGAUAAGUGCUGAAAGCAUCUAAGCACGAAACUUGCCCCGAGAUGAGUUCUCCCUGACUCCUUGAGAGUCCUGAAGGAACGUUGAAGACGACGACGUUGAUAGGCCGGGUGUGUAAGCGCAGCGAUGCGUUGAGCUAACCGGUACUAAUGAACCGUGAGGCUUAACCUUACAACGCCGAAGGUGUUU